rnacentral:rRNA from 1 species
AGCAGCCGCGGUAAUUCCAGCUCCAAUAGCGUAUAUUAAAGUUGUUGCAGUUAAAAAGCUCGUAGUUGAAUUUCGGGAUCAAUAUGUUGGUCGUGCCAUUGGUACGUACUGGUAUCAUUGAUUUCUCCUUUCUGACGAACCAUGAUGUCAUUAAUUUGGUGUUAUGGGGAGUUAGGACUGUUACUUUGAAAAAAUUAGAGUGUUUAAAGCAGGUAUUAGCUUGAAUACAUUAGCAUGGAAUAAUGAUAUAGGACGUUUGACCCUAUUUUGUUGGUUUCUAGGAUCGACGUAAUGAUUAAUAGGGAUAGUUGGGGGCAUUAGUAUUCAAUUGUCAGAGGUGAAAUUCUUGGAUUUAUUGAAGACUAACUACUGCGAAAGCAUUUGCCAGGGAUGUUUUCAUUAAUCAAGAACGAAAGUUAGGGGAUCGAAGACGAUCAGAUACCGUCGUAGUCUUAACCAUAAACUAUGCCGACUAGGGAUCGGAUGAUGUUAAUUCUUUAAUGACUCA